rnacentral:rRNA from 1 species
CAAUAGCGUAUAUUUAAGUUGUUGCAGUUAAAAAGCUCGUAGUUGGAUUUCGGGUGGGACGCAGCGGUCUCGCAUUGCGUUUGUACGGCUGCAGCCCUCCUUCUUGCCGGGGGCGGCCUCUCGGACUUCACUGUCUGGGGGUCAGAAUCGGCGAUGUUACUUUGAGUAAAUUAGAGUGUUCAAAGCAAGCUUACGCUCUGAAUAUAAUAGCAUGGGAUAACACGACAGGACUCUGGCCUAUCGUGUUGGUCUAUAGGACCAGAGUAAUGAUUAAGAGGGACAGUCGGGGGCAUUCGUAUUCCGUUGUCAGAGGUGAAAUUCUUGGAUUUACGGAAGACGAACAUCUGCGAAAGCAUUUGCCAAGGAUGUUUUCAUUGA